UAUAUAUAUAUAUAUAUAUAUAUUCUCCUUUAUAGUGUUACUAUGAUACCUGUUUUGGAAGUAAAAAUUGAAACAAAAAUUUUAAGAAACUAAUUACUGGAUAUAAAUACCAUUAGACAUUUGGAGAGUCAACUCUCUGGAUUACACCUGGAGAGAGAAAAUGGUUUGGGAAGCUUUAUUAGAAUGGGCGGGCAAGGCAGAGGAGUAGGCAGGGAGAAAAAGUCACGCGGAACUGUUCCCCUCUGCCCCACUAGGAGUUUAAGUGGAAUUACUCUACACAGGGAAUUUGGGAAUUUUGCCCCUCCUAUUGCUUGUUAAAUAAGAAGUCCGAUUCCCAAUGUAAUGCUGUUGGUCACAGGGCUCCUAGAGAUCCCAAAAGGAUGCAAUCUAUUGCCUUUGUUCCUGGUUACCCAUCAGAAUUAGCUAAUAAAACUUUACUGCUAAAAGCAUCACACAUAUUCAUCAGAGGAUGUGGAUAAGUUGAGUUGAUAUCAACCAGUAAGCUUGUACCCUGCUGUUAGUUUUAAUAGUUUCAAAAGCUAUGUAAGCUGCAAGGGAAUAAAGAUGAUGAACAGUCUUACUGGGUGGUAAACCCUGGGAAAUACAAUAGAGACAGAAUUGCCAAGAGAUGCCCAUGCGUGCAAUCGUGGAAUGACUGUAAUAGAAGUAACUAUGUUCUUUCUGAUUGGAUGUAAGUCUUACUCCACGGGUCAAAACAUAUGCUUAGUACUGCAUAUAUUCCCAAGAAAUCAUUUUUGAGGAGUCCCAAGCUUGAACCUAUUAUUAUUGUUCUGAUUAGUGGACACAGAAUCAACCAGUACUCUGUGUUUGUAUUUCCCUAUUUAAAUUAAUGCAGCUGUUGGGCCUCAUCAGCAAUUUUGUCCAUUUGAUUUAUUAGGGAGUGAACAGUGAUUAAUGCUCAGAGUCACAAGUGAUCAAAGUUCCAGAGAGUGAGUUUCUGUAGACUGUUCAGCCACAACUGGAACAUCUACAUCACAGCUUCCUAAUCAAGCCUCAGGAAACAUCACAGGGAGGGAGAGGGAAGAUUGCAAGAGAGAGGGCAGGAGGGGUAGAAAGAAUAUGUCUUCUAAGAAGACCAACCUACUACACUCAUUAAGUCACAACCAUGGUGGCUACUUGCCCAACAACUACAUAGUAUCAAGCCAGUAAAUGUCUUGCUUUGAGUGGAAAGGGGUCCAUAAGUUUUCUCCCAUAAUUUAGGAGUGAUGAGUAGCUGAUGCCUUUUGCAAGAACAGUCAGUUGUCUUUAAGCAUGUGGCCAUUGGUGUGUCAGUGUAGCCGGGGGAUAACCUCAGACCAUGGAGUAGAUGAGUAACACAGAUCAGAUAGUCAUUAGAAAGAUGAAGAGGACAUGCAGUCGGGGGGCUAGUAAGGAGUAGGAAUAUAUCCGGGAGGAGGUAGGGAGUCCCAUAUGGUGUGUGUGUGUGAUCAAAAUACACAAUAUAAUAAUCUCAAAGAGUUAACACAUAAGAGUUGAGCCAGUGGUUCAUAUCAGAUGCUAAUAUUUUGGGGAGAUUCUGGAAACAUUAAAGAUGGAACUGAGGUCAGAAAUACAUCCCUGGGAGAUGAGAAGACAGAUCACUUAUUACACAGUAUCACUGACACGUUUCUCUAGGACUCUCAUUGGACUCUAGGCAAACCUUGUACUCUGAGCACCUGGGGUGUGGGGAGUCACAUAAUUCCAAUAUACAAUGGUACAAAGCUUACAUCCUGUUCUCAAAGGGAAAUCAGGGGAGUAACAAAGCAAGUUUGCAGGAAAGCAACACUGAGAGUCUACAUUUGGAAACAUCAAAUUCUGAGGCUCUGUGGGCAGAGGAUGUGACCACUAAUGGAUUUCUGUAGUCCCCACAUCUAUAAUCUUUCUGGCUUAGCCCACAUGUGUGAACAAGAUAUUCCAUGGUCUCCCUAUUUUCAGUGAAACAACUUUCAAGAGAAUUUAAGAGUUUUAUGUCCUAGAGACUUUGAUAGUUGCAUUAUGAUAAAUUCCAUAGAUUAUUUUAACACAUUUUUUGAUAUGGUAUUGGCACAAACUCUUGGUUUCUCUUUAAUAUCCCACAAAGCUUUAACAACCUCAAGGUCUACACUUGGAAAAGUGUGGACAAGGACACUUUCAUGUGUCCUCGUUUUGUCAGAUUUUCUCUGUAUUCUUACUAGAUGGCUGAAAGCAUGAAGUUCUAGAUUGGCUAUGAGGAGAAUACCACGCUGUUUUCCUUGCUUAACUAAUUAAUAAUAUUACCUUUAACAUUCAAAGUUUCAAUACACUGUCAAAAUGUAAAGGAACUCUUUGCUAAAAUCAA